rnacentral:lncRNA from 1 species
GUUUUGUGGUUUUUUUUUUAAGAAGGUUUUCUUUUUUGACAGUAUAAAUAUUUUUCAAAAAUAAUACUCAUGGUUAGAUGGCAUCAAAAUCAUCUUGAAGUGUUUUUUCCCCUCAUUGGUAAGAAUGAUCCUGUGUAAGGUUUUCUGUUUAUUUUUAAAUCAUAAUAAAAUAACAUCCCAGUAGCUUCGGUAGACAAAUAGGCUUCUUGAGAGAAAACAGAU